rnacentral:lncRNA from 1 species
CGCGCCUCAGGCCAGGGCCACCAGCCCCGCUGCUGCGGCUGGGUUGAUGGCUGCCGGCAGGAGGGCUGGCCAUGGAGACAGUGGGGCCGCAGUGCCGGUGGACACGGGGACAGUGGUGUCUCUUCCUCGGCCGGGAGAGCUGCGUCUCAGGGUCCAGGCGACCGGACGCUGGGGGUCACUGGCCAACUGCGUCCUGGGUGCCCUACAGAAAGGAAGCAGAAGCGGCACGUGCAGGUGAGGAAGGCGCUGCUGGGGAGAACAGCGUCCGCGCCUGGGCUGGGCCCUGGUGAGGGCGAAGCUCACCUCGGAGGGCUGGGGAGGAGGUCGGUGGAGAGGUGGCAGCUGCUGGAAGAGAUUCCCAGAGGGCCGUGCCUCGCGACCUCCAAUGUCCAACACUUUGUGUUUCUCUACCUCCCUACAGCAGCCAACCAGCUCUCAAAUAAAACGCGAGUGAAAUACAUCGUCAAGCAAGCAGCUAAAAGGAGCCUUAUCCACGAUCUCUGUGUGGAAAGAACCACUCUGUGCACUUGGGCUCAUGCUGGGAGAACCGUGACUAAGAUCAGACAUGGAACUUGGCAGGGAAUGGCGGGGUGAAAGUGGCAGGGAGACCCCCUCCCCGCCCGUUCCUUUCUGCGGUCCCUCUAGUACUGAUAGUACAGCGGGGGCUGGGGAUCUGCUCCCCUCCCCCCACUUGAGUUUGGGCAACACCUCUGGGCCAGGCCUGCUUCCAUUGUUCUGAGAGAGGCAGAAAAUAAGAUAGCAAAGGCCAAAGCCAUCUCUGAGACUGGGCCAGGGCACAAAUCCGUUAGAUCUCCUGGCCUGAUCGUCAGUAACCUCUUCCCCACUCUAACCUCGUUGAAGUCUUGUAAAUACGGACACCCAAUGUAAUCGGAGUGAACUGUGGGGCAUGCGUGCUGCUUGAGAGCCCCCCACUCAGGAUGGCUCAGCACCCUGUCAAGCGUUCCUGUCAAUCUUAGGUGGACACCCAGCGAGAGCAACCGGGCUGGGGGCACCGCCCUUAAACUCCAAAUGCCUGCUUUAUCUGUGUGUUUUCUUCUUUCCUGUCGUCCUGCCACCACUUCUCUUGUUUGUGCCACAUUUCUGUCGGCUCGGAGCUGCCCCAAGCACAUCCUCGGUCCCGUGAUCUUUAAUAAACGGAGCUGCUUUUCUUUUCCCAUUGGAUGUACACUUGCAAUUCCUUGCUCACCGUGCACAGGAGCCCGGCAUCUAUCUGUCGGAUCCACCCCGUGGUGUCUCCUCCCACAGAAGAGUGGGAGCUAGUAAGGCAAUCACACAUGAUUAGCCAGCAAGUGAUCACCGCGUUUCCCUGAAAAGUAGAUCAGGCCUUACGUUAACUGUUGCUCCAAAAGAUGCAAUAGGCUUAUUUUCAGGGGCUAUCUUAUUUCUCACGUGCAAAAAUCUACAUCUAUUCAUGUAGAAAAAUCUACAUGUCUUCCAACACAGUCAUGUCGUCUUCUUCUGGAACACUGUUUCGCUCUCCAAACCCCAAAUUCCAGCCUGAAUUUCUUGCAACUCCAUUUCCUGGAGAACCGUUCGCCCCAAUCUCUCGUGUCCAGGGACAGAAGCCUCGUUACAUGAGCACCUCCUGCUCACGUAACCUGCUCGUAGUGCAUCAUUACAACACAGGACGCACUGACUUACGAGGAUUCACAUGGGACACAACCACGUUCAUUCGUCAUCAAGUGCACGUGUAAUUCAGGCCCUGUCUGCACUCCAGUCGGUCAUUUAGCACUAACUUUCAGGAUCAUCUAUUCACACAGGCAUUUAC